CGUAGGGUGCGAGCGUUAAUCGGAAUUACUGGGCGUAAAGCGUGCGCAGGCGGUUAUGUAAGACAGAUGUCGAAAUCCCCGGGCUCAACCUGGGACCUGCAUUUGUGACUGCAUAGCUAGAGUACGGUAGGAGGGGGAUGGAAUUCCGCGUGUAGCAGUGAAAUGCGUAGAUAUGCGGAGGAACACCGAUGGCGAAGGCAACUCCCCUGGACCUGUACUGACGCUCAUGCACGAAAGCGUGGGGAGCAAACAGGAUUAGAUACCCUGGUAGUCCACGCCCUAAACGAUGUCAACUGGUUGUUGGGUCUUCACUGACUCAGUAACGAAGCUAACGCGUGAAGUUGACCGCCUGGGGAGUACGGCCGCAAGGUUG
rnacentral:rRNA from 1 species